GGUUCACUCAGUGUCCGGCCACCAAACUCAAAGGUACUCUCAAAAAAUAGCUAAACUUUUAUUGGUGAUGUGGCAAAGCUUUGCCACAUCACCAGUGAUAAUUUUUUGUCAUUUCACCAUUAUUUAAAAUAGUCAAGACAACAUUAAUUUAUUUAAGUAAUGAAUAAAAAUUGUGUUUCUUAUAAUUAAAAUACAUUUAAACUAAAUAUUAAAUUAUUUGAAUAAGUGUGCUUAUAAAAUCCACACUUUACAUGCGGUUUUCGUAAUUCCUUCAAAAGUAAUUGAUAUGUACUACAAUUGGAAUAUCCAGGAAUAAAAAAUAAAAAAAAUCCAGAAAUGAAUAAAAAGAAUAACUACCAUUAUCAAGUGACGACUAUGAUAUCAACAAUAUUAUUAAUUUAUCCUGAAAAUAAUUAUCAUAAUGGAGUAUUUGUAGACUCAGUCAUUCAGGAUUGUAUGAUGCCCAAUUAUUCACAAAUAAGAAGGAAGUUACAAAUGAUGUUGUAUAUGGUCCAACCUGGCAAUGUUUAUUGCCAAAUUAUGAACGUCGUUUUUCAACAUUAAUUAGUGUUAAAUAUUGUGGUUUUGGUAAUCCUUCUAGAAUUGUGUUAUACUGAGUUUUCCGAUCUAUAUUAAAAUAUGGUGUCCGGCCGAGGGUGAAGACCUCCCAUAACACAACUCCAAACGACAAAAAAUCAGAUUGAGUUGAAAAUAUAAAUGCAUGAAUUGAUUCUGGCGCCAUCCACUUGACUGGUAGACAUCCACCAUUGGUUUUUUG